CGGGUCGUUCGUUCAGUUCGUUCGCGGGUCGUAUUGAAAAAAGUGCCGAGAGAGUUAACGAAAAAAGUGUGUCAGACAGUGUCCAGUGUAGAACAUCGUCGUGGAAGUUUUCACCGGAAAAUCAGAGAACAGAGACCGUUUAAUCGUGGACAAAUUCUAGUGCUUUACCGCAGUGUUUCCUGUUGUGCGGUAAAGUAUCGGUGAUAGUUGUUUUGCCAGUAUUUUCCGAUUGCUGCAGCGAUACAAUGAAGUGAUGUGUGUACUCGCCGAAAGAAAUCAUUGAAAUGCAGUUUUUCGAUGGUGGUUCUGUAGGAAAAAAUG